AACGAACGCUGGCGGCAGGCUAAACACAUGCAAGUCGAACGCCCCGCAAGGGGAGUGGCAGACGGGUGAGUAACACGUGGGAACAUGCCCAAAGGUACGGAACAACUCCGGGAAACUGGAGCUAAUACCGUAUGUGCCCGAAAGGGGAAAGAUUUAUCGCCUUUGGAUUGGCCCGCGUCGGAUUAGCUAGUUGGUGGGGUAUAAGCCUACCAAGGCGACGAUCCGUAGCUGGUUUGAGAGAACGACCAGCCACACUGGGACUGAGACACGGCCCAGACUCCUACGGGAGGCAGCAGUGGGGAAUCUUGGACAAUGGGCGCAAGCCUGAUCCAGCCAUGCCGCGUGGAUGAUGAAGGCCUUAGGGUUGUAAAAUCCUUUCGUUGGGGACGAUAAUGACGGUACCCAAAGAAGAAGCCCCGGCUAACUUCGUGCCAGCCGCCGCCGUAA
rnacentral:rRNA from 1 species